UCCCUGGAGGCUCAGUGGUAAAGAAUCUGCCUGCCAUUGCAGGAGACACAGGUUUGAUCUCUGUUCAGGGAA
rfam:Ovis aries breed Texel chromosome 9, whole genome shotgun sequence.